AAGCACCGUGUGAAUGGGAGACUAUCACGCACUGUGCUGUGAGAGGUUUGGGGUGAAAUUCCCCUUACCUACUCGAC
rnacentral:ncRNA from 1 species